rnacentral:misc_RNA from 1 species
GAUGAAGAACGCAGCGAAAUGCGAUAAGUAAUGUGAAUUGCAGAAUUCAGUGAAUCAUCGAAUCUUUGAACGCACAUUGCGCCCCCUGGUAUUCCGGGGGGCAAGCCUGUCCGAGCGUCAUUACAACCCUCAAGCUCAGCUUGGUAUUGGGCCCCGCCGACCCGGCGGGCCCUAAAGUCAGUGGCGGUGCCGUCCGGCUCCGAGCGUAGUAAUUCUUCUCGCUCUGGAGGUCCGGUCGUGUGCUCGCCAGCAACCCCCAAUUUUUUUCAGGUUGACCUCGGAUCAGGUAGGGAUACCCGCUGAACUUAAGCAUAUCAAUAAGCGGAGGA